rnacentral:sRNA from 1 species
AUACUGGUAGGUGAGGCUACCACAGGGAUACGGGUUACUGCCGCAAAAUAGUGGAGACACUAUGAGAUGGUUAACAGUCUUCGUCGAAUUCAAGGCGUCGAAUAAUGUAAUUUCAUUGCCCUGUGAAGUUAAAGCUUGAACGGUAAU